GUGGAAUCUCGCCCACAUGUCGGGAGCAGGGCCCAGGACUUCCAGGGUCAGGAUCCGAGAGCACGUGAAGCCACAGGGCUUUUGCGUCCCACAGGGAGACCCGGGCAGUGGUUGGACAAGAGGGGACCAGGUUGUUCCUGAAGCCACGGUAUCCACUGCCGCUGCACAGAUGUUUAUGGAACGUCAGAGCCAGAAUCCGGAGGGUCUGGCUGUGAGCUCGGGCUGUGGGGUCAGAUUCCCUAAGUUCGAAUCCCAGCUCUGCCAUUUACUGAGUGUGUGGGCUGAAGUGUGUCCCCUAAAAUAAAUACGUUGCAGUCCUCA